rnacentral:tRNA from 5 species
GAUCCGUUGGCGAAGUGGAAACGCGGGAGUCUGCAAAACUUCUAUGCGCGGGUUCGAUUCCCGCACGGAUCU